GAAAUGCGAUAAGUAAUGUGAAUUGCAGAAUUCAGUGAAUCAUCGAAUCUUUGAACGCACCUUGCGCUCCUUGGUAUUCCGAGGAGCAUGCCUGUUUGAGUGUCAUGGAAUUCUCAACUCUAUUUGCUUUUGUGAAUAGAGCUUGGAUUUGGAGGUUUAUUGCUGGUACUUGUGAUCGGCUCCUCUUGAAUGCAUUAGCUCGAACCUUUGCGGAUCAGCUAUCGGUGUGAUAAUUGUCUACGCCGUUGCAGUGAAGCAUAUCAAUGGGCUCGGCUUCCAAUCGUCCUUUACUGGACAAUGACUUUGACCUUUGACCUCAAAUCAGGUAGGAUUACCUGCUGAACUUAAGC
rnacentral:misc_RNA from 1 species